UACGUAGGGUGCGAGCGUUAAUCGGAAUUACUGGGCGUAAAGCGUGCGCAGGCGGUUUUGUAAGCCGGAUGUGAAAUCCCCGGGCUUAACCUGGGAAUGGCAUUCGGGACUGCAAGGCUGGAGUGCGGCAGAGGAGACUGGAAUUCCUGGUGUAGCAGUGAAAUGCGUAGAUAUCAGGAGGAACACCGAUGGCGAAGGCAGGUCUCUGGGCUGACACUGACGCUCAUGCACGAAAGCGUGGGGAGCAAUCAGG
rnacentral:rRNA from 1 species